rnacentral:rRNA from 1 species
UACGUAGGGUGCAAGCGUUAAUCGGAAUUACUGGGCGUAAAGCGUGCGCAGGCGGUUUUGUAAGACCGAUGUGAAAUCCCCGGGCUCAACCUGGGAACUGCCUUUGUGACUGCAUAGCUAGAGUACGGUAGAGGGGGAUGGAAUUCCGCGUGUAGCAGUGAAAUGCGUAGAUAUGCGGAGGAACACCGAUGGCGAAGGCAAUCCCCUGGACCUGUACUGACGCUCAUGCACGAAAGCGUGGGGAGCAAACAGG